GGGUAUAGCUCAAUGGUAGAGUGCAUGCUUAGCAUGCACAAGGUCCUGGGUUCAAUCCCCAGAAUUUCCA
rnacentral:tRNA from 1 species